ensembl:misc_RNA 7SK 7SK RNA
GGAUGUGAGGGUUAUCUGGCUGUGACAUCUGUCACCCCAUGAUAGCAAGGGUUGACUCAGCUGGUCUGGCUGGUGAGGCUGGUGUCCACUUCUUCCCUCACUGCUCCGUGUGCAUCCCUCCGGAAGCUGUGCGCUGGUCGAGGACGGUGACAUUCCCCAGUAGAUGAGCAGCUGCGUUCCCCUGCUAGAACCUCCAAACAAGCUUUCAGAAUUCUCCCUCAUCUUUGAAGCACCAACUCAAAUACUUUUUCUUCUGUGAAGCCUUUUUAAAUGCCUCAAUACAGAUUUAGUGAACUUUUUCUCUUGGAGUUUCACU